UACGUAGGUGGCAAGCGUUGUCCGGAUUUACUGGGCGUAAAGAGCGCGCAGGCGGUCGAGUAAGUCGAAUGUGAAAGCCCCCGGCUUAACUGGGGGAGGGUCAUUCGAUACUGUUCGACUUGAAGGCAGGAGAGGGCAGCAGAAUUCCCGGUGUAGUGAUGAAAUGCGUAGAUAUCGGGAGGAAUACCAGUGGCGAAGGCGGCUGCCUGGCCUGUUCUUGACGCUGAGGCGCGAAAGCUGGGGGAGCAAACGGG
rnacentral:rRNA from 1 species